AGAGUUUGAUCAUGGCUCAGAGUGAACGCUGGCGGCAGGCCUAAUACAUGCAAGUCGAACGGCAGCACGGCAGAGCUUGCUCUGUGGGUGGCGAGUGGCGGACGGGUGAGGAAUACAUGGGAAUCUGCCCAGUCGUGGGGAUAACGUAGGGAAACUUACGCUAAUACCGCAUGCGCCCUUCGGGGAAAGCCGGGGACCUUCGGGCCUGGCGCGAUUGGAUGAGCCCAUGUCGGAUUAGCUAGUUGGCGGGGUAAUGGCCCACCAAGGCGACGAUCCGUAGCAGGUCUGAGAGGAUGAUCAGCCACACUGGAACUGAGACACGGUCCAGACUCCUACGGGAGGCAGCAGUAGGGAAUAUUGGACAAUGGGCGCAAGCCUGAUCCAGCCAUGCCGCGUGAGUGAAGAAGGCCCUCGGGUUGUAAAGCUCUUUUGUCCGGAAAGAAAAGCGCCGGGUUAAUACCCUGGUGUCCUGACGGUACCGGAAGAAUAAGCACCGGCUAACUUCGUG
rnacentral:rRNA from 1 species